rnacentral:lncRNA from 1 species
CAUUUAGUGACAGGUUAACCUGGAGGUAAAAAUGCCCAGCUUCCUUGCCUCAAUUUGGGACAUCUCUGAAGGGCCAUUCCAGUUCUAGAAUUUCUAUAGGAUUGAUUAAGUCCUCUCUCACAAUUACAUUUGGUUCAAUUUCUCCCUCUGCUCAAUCAUGCUUCGCUCCCUAACAAUGUUUUUCUGGAGGGCUCUCGUUAAUCUCCUGAAUGAAAAUCUUUCCAUCAAAGUCUUUUCUCUGGAGCACUUGAACAAAGGCAGUAUCUCACAGUCUUUUGCAUUUUUAUAUGUGUAACAUUCUCAUUUCUUUUUUUCUUUCCUUUCUUUCUUUUUUCCUUCCAGUUUUUUAAAAUCUAAUUUCAGGUUCACUGAAAAACUAGAAUCUAAGUCUAGUUCACUGUUUUCAGCUGCAGUCUGCUGUUCAUCUCACCUAUUGAAUUCUUAGCUUCAGAUAUUUUCUUUUUUUUUUAUUUGCAGAAUGUUCAUUUGAUUCUCUUUUACAGAUUUUAAUCCUCUUUUAAAUUCUCCACACUUUGAUCUCCUUUGCCUCUCUUUUUCUUUGCUGUUUUUAACAUUAAACCCAGGUUUUUGAAAGUCCUUAUUUGAUAACUCCAGUAUCUGAUCCAUCUCAUCUCACCUUUUGUCAUGAGAGUUGGUCAUAUUUUCUUGUCUCCACACUUCUGGUAAGAUCCUACUGCAUGUUGGACAUUGUGCUGUAAUUCUCAAAGCUCUACUCUUUUUUUUUUUUUUGCUUUUAACUCAAUGAAUUUGAUUAUAUUUUUACAGUUGGACAGUGAUCAUCACAGCCCAAUUUUACAGCAUUCCCAAGGCUCUACAUUUUAUCUGUAUUGGUAAAUAGAGUGAGGAUUGGAGCACCCAAAUCCAAUAAGACCUUAAUUAAAGGUGGAGCCAGGUUUCUGUUAUGGUCAACUCAACCCAGUUGAGCAAACCCAGCCUACAUCUGCAUUAACCCUCCUAUCGUUUCCUGUGCUCCCCCUCCACCAGCACAGGGUUUUGAUUUUAAGUUGCUAAAUCUCUGUUCCUCCAGUGUAGAAGACUGCGGAAAAUUCAGUGAUGGCCUUCAGAGACCCCAGCCAGCUCAGCUCUCCAGUUUUCCAGCUUGCAUUUCUUCAAAAUACAGCCAAUUCCUUGAAGCUGUGUGGAAUACAUGGUCUUCAGAGAGCCGCGUUUGGAGGAGGAGGACAUCAUUUCUGCUGACAUCCUCUCGGCUGGGAUACUGUCACACAGUCUCCCCAACACUGCAAGGGAGGUUAGUAAAUGGGCAUCCCUUUUUACCCAGGAAAAGGAAGUAUUAUGAUCAACAUGUAACAUUGUUUCUGUCACAUCCAGCAAGGGUGACAGCCUUUCUGAUGUCUAGCAUUAUACAGAGGUCUUCAUCCUGA